CAUUUCCGUAGAAUGAAGAUGUCCUUAUUAAUAAUGGCUUGUUUCAUAUUUGCAGAAAUAUUUCUGUUUACUACAUUUCCACAUGGCACUACUAGAGUAUCUAGGCAUAUUUUCUUGGACCUUCAAAGUCUUGUCGUAAUAGUUGUUUUCACAGAUUUGCAGAGGGCAACAGACAUAUGAGACUGCCAGUUACUAAUACCGUGGUACCUUGGUUUUCGACUGUCUUGGAAGUCUAACAUUUUGGUUUUCGUACGCCCAAAACCCGGAAGUAACUGCUUUGGUUUUUGAAUGCUUUUCAGAAGUCAAGCGUGCCAUGUGGCUUCCGUAUUGAGUUUCCUGGAAGUAAAUGCUUCGGUUUUCGAACGUUUUGGAAGUCAAACAGUCUUCCGGAACAGAUUACGUUCGAAAACCAAGGCACCACUGUACUUGAUAUUUAACCAGUACCAGUCCCUCAAGAAUAACCCCAUGUAGCACAAUGAAUACAGUUAUUUCCAUGGGAUUUGUAUAAAUCCAUUCUUUUUGUAUAUAUAUCCUUUGUACUGUGAGCUGAGGUCGGGCUUUUCCAUUAUGGUUUCCCUGCCCUCAGUAAUCUGUUGCUCGGAUAGGACUCUGAAGUCUUUAGGUGGUGAGAAAAAGGGUUAUUUUGUGAAGAAGAGGGAGGAGAAAUCCAAAGGGCAGGGAAAGGAAGGCAAUGUGUUUCCUUUGGCAUUAGGGAAUAGUGGUCCUCGGAGGCCAUGACAUUUUCAUGCCGUGUGCACUUAGCCCACCAUGAGUCCAGUGAACUUGCAGGUGCCUGGAAUGCCCUGCUGUUUUGGGAAAAAUCAGUGCCUAGCAGUGUCCAUCCACUAACUCAGUUUGUUCUGUAGGGAAGGGAUGGGGAAAGCUGUGGCCCUCCAGAUGUUUGACUCCGAGCAUGGCCAGCCUGCCUAAUGGUCAGGGAUGAAGAAAGUUAUUGUCCAAUAACAUUCCUGUGUGGGAAAUACAACCACUUCCCGCUGUACAGUAGUAUCUCGGGUUACAUACGCUUCAGGUUACAGACUCCGCUAACUCAGAAAUGGUACCUCGGAUUAAGAACUUUGCUUCAGGAUGAGAACAGAAAUCGUGCUCCAGCGGCGCAGCAGCAGCAGCAGAAGGCCCCAUUAGCUAAAGUGGUGCUUCAGGUUAAGAACAGUUUCAGGUUAAGAACAGACCUCUGGAACGAAUUAAGUACUUAACUUGAGGUACCACUGUACUCUGCUUAUCUUUUUUAACUACCAUCCAACAGUUGCUAGCUGGUCAAUGAGGACUUAGGAAGAGAAGGGUAGUUUGUUUGCUUUGUGUUUCAGAGAAUCCUGCUAGUCAUAAAGAAGAGUACAGAAAAUCCCCACAGCUCACAUCCAUUUUCCGUUAGCUGCUGUCUAUGAAAGCAGCUGUGAAGACCCAUUUUAUAAGCACCACAACAGAGUCGGAACUUGGAUCAUAGUAUUUUCCUGGCGGUGGAGUUUGGUUAAUACAUGUGGGUUAUGCAGAGUCUUUCUAUUGCCCGUGUACAUUCUGACAGAGCGAAUGCCCUGAGCCCUUGACGACUUCCAGCCCAUUGCUCACCUUGGUUCUCUCCACUGCCCCCCCCAAGGUAUGUGUUAUUUCACCUGUCUGCAUAAGCAGGAGUCAGGGUAAACCUGACACAGACGUCUUUCAUUACGAGAAAAGUCUGCCAUUCUUUCUUUAAAAUAAUAUUGUGCUUCAUUCUUGGACUCAGUUCGUCAGGGACAUAAUAUUACUCUUCCCUCGAGCACAGCAUAAUGCGGGCUUACUUAUUCUAGCAGAGGGCUUGUCGCACACCCCAUUCUGUCUAGCAAAAUUUAGUCUUGGAGUUGUCCAUAGAAAGUCGAGUGCCCAGAAUUCAAAGGACAUCUGCCUAAGGGCAUUGUGUGCCCAGUCCUUGUUAUUUUCCUUUGAAAGUGACCAGAAACCACGUGCUGCCUUCUGUUCAUUCAGUAGAACUCCCUCCCAGAUGAGAUUAGACAGGGACCCUCCUUCUGGACUUUGGGCAUAUGACUAAGGUAGUGUUUGGUUUUAUGAUAUUUUCUGUUUUAUUGUCCCAUUUUCUGUGGAAUAUUUUUAUGUAUACUGUUAAGAAAUGUGGUAUAUAAAUGUCUUAAAUAAAUUGAAAUUAAAAUAAA